rnacentral:rRNA from 1 species
AGUGAACGUUGGCGGUAGGCCUAACACAUGCCAGUCGAACGGCAGCACAGUAAGAGCUUGCUCUUACGGGUGGCGAGUGGCGGACGGGUGAGGAAUACAUCGGAAUCUACUUUUUCGUGGGAGAUAACGUAGGGAAACUUACGCUAAUACCGCAUACGACCUACGGGUGAAAGCAGGGGAUCUUCGGACCUUGCGCGAUUGAAUGAGCCGAUGUCGGAUUAGCUAGUUGGCGGGGUAAAGGCCCACCAAGGCGACGAUCCGUAGCUGGUCUGAGAGGAUGAUCAGCCACACUGGAACUGAGACACGGUCCAGACUCCUACGGGAGGCAGCAGUGGGGAAUAUUGGACAAUGGGCGCAAGCCUGAUCCAGCCAUACCGCGUGGGUGAAGAAGGCCUUCGGGUUGUAAAGCCCUUUUGUUGGGAAAGAAAAGCAGUAGGUUAAUACCCCGCUGUUCUGACGGUACCCAAAGAAUAAGCACCGGCUAACUUCGUG